AGAAGAGAGAGGAACUUCCAUAUUCACCAGAGUUCAACACAGACCAUCAUCAUCACCUUCAUUCAACAUGCUGUCAUUACACUAUUAUUUACAUUCCCUACUGUUAGUUUCCAUUCUAAGAGGGGUCAGCUGUGAAGAUCUCACUGCAUUACAGAGAGAAGAGUUCAGUCCAGAAGGCAGCUCUAUUACUCUGUCCUACAGAUACUCCAAGGUUGCUGAAUUGGAUGAUUAUUUCUUCUGGUAUCGACAAUAUCCAGGAAAACCACCAGAGUUCCUCAUCUUUCACUUGGGAACACAAAAUACAACAAACUCUCGACUGUCCGUUAAACCGAAUGAGGAUAAAACCCAGAUCAAUCUGAGCAUCUCCUCUGUUGCAGUGACAGACUCUGCUGUGUACUACUGUGCUGUGAGGCCCACAGUGACAGGAAACACCAACACUCUGUACAAAAACCUUUGGAGCAAAGACAACACAACACUGCACAGCAUCCACCAGAGGGAGGCUCUCUCUGACAGACUUUAGGGAAACAACACAACUAAUGUUCAAACAACU